rnacentral:lncRNA from 1 species
CAAAACCCUUUUUCCUUGCCUCUUGAAGGAUACUUUUAUGUUUGACAGGGAGUCAAGAUCCUGUCAAUACCAGAAGUAAAGGCAUUCUGGCAUAUUUACACUCAAGAUAUUGCAUGGAUUGGAAACAAGAAGGCAUGCAUAUAGGCAACAAACUUUCAUAGUUGCAUCUUUCCUGUUGAUGUUUACAUUCAGGAUUUCAUUAUUUUAUCAGAUCCUAAAUCUUCUGAAUCAACAUAUAUUAAGGUAUAGUUUCACAAUUUAUUAAUCAAAUAAUUCGUAUAGUUUUUAUGUACCAUAAAUCUAAGAGGCCUACUGUUUUUAAUGUUUUUAUUUAUUUUUGAGGGAGAUUGAGAGCAUGAGUGGGGGAGGUGCAGAGAGAGAGAGAGAGAGAGAGAGAGAGAGGAUCUGAAGCAGGCUUUGUGCUGACAGCAGACAGCCCAAUGUGGGGCUUGAACUCACAAAUGGUAAGAUCAUGACCUGAGCCAAAUUCGACACUUAACCAACUGAGCCAACCAGGCUCCUCCAAGAGGCCCAAUUCAAUAAAUACCCUUGUACCCACA